rnacentral:rRNA from 1 species
UACGAAGGUGGCAAGCGUUACUCGGAAUUACUAGGCGUAAAGGGCAGGUAGGUGGUUGGUUAAGUCUGUUGUGAAAGCUCCUUGCUUAACGGGGAGAGGCCAACAGAUACUGCCAGGCUUGAGUAUGGGAGAGGGUACUGGAAUUCCCGGUGUAGCGGUGAAAUGCGCAGAGAUCGGGAGGAACACCAAUGGCGAAAGCAGGUACCUGGACCAUUACUGACACUCAGCUGCGAAAGCUAGGGGAGCAACAGGG